rnacentral:rRNA from 1 species
UUGAACGCUGGCGGCAGGCCUAACACAUGCAAGUCGAACGGUAACAGGAAGAAGCUUGCUUCUUUGCUGACGAGUGGCGGACGGGUGAGUAAUGUCUGGGAAACUGCCUGAUGGAGGGGGAUAACUACUGGAAACGGUAGCUAAUACCGCAUAACGUCGCAAGACCAAAAAGGGGGGCCUUCGGGCCUCUUGCCAUCGGAUGUGCCCAGAUGGGAUUAGCUAGUAGGUGGGGUAACGGCUCACCUAGGCGACGAUCCCUAGCUGGUCUGAGAGGAUGACCAGCCACACUGGAACUGAGACACGGUCCAGACUCCUACGGGAGGCAGCAGUGGGGAAUAUUGCACAAUGGGCGCAAGCCUGAUGCAGCCAUGCCGCGUGUAUGAAGAAGGCCUUCGGGUUGUAAAGUACUUUCAGCGGGGAGGAAGGGAGUAAAGUUAAUACCUUUGCUCAUUGACGUUACCCGCAGAAGAAGCACCGGCUAACUCCGUG